CUAUUGCAUUUGGUUUUUCAAUUUCAGUAGCCAUAACAGCACUACAUUACAAUGGCUGGAGAUUUUGUUCCUGAGUCAGAACUUAACCUGAAAGGCUGGCAAAGACACUUUAACUCGUACACAUUAAGAGGCAGAUUUAAUUGGGUAGUUGCAACAUAUGGAACAUUAUUUGGUAGCUACUUUCUCUACAAACUAUUAAAGAGAAAACCCAAAGCUGUGGAAAUCAAGCAUUGACAAUGAAGUCUGUGUCUUCUGACAGUGUGGAACAGUUGCCUACAAUGUACAUUUGUCUAGCUUUUACUAUACAUCCUGCUUCAUAGUGUUGUUGAUUUUUUUUUUAAACAAAUUUAUAUGUAUAUUCAUAUUUUACAGCAGUUGAUUUAUUAUAAUAAUUUAUUUUUAUUUUUAUUUUUUUUGCUGUAGUUUCUUUGUUAAAUUAUGUACUAUAGGUAUUGUCAGAUGUAUAAAAAAAGAAAUUAAUGUUAUUCCAAAUACCAAAAAAAACUCUACA
rnacentral:sRNA from 1 species